rnacentral:rRNA from 1 species
AUUGAACGCUGGCGGCAGGCCUAACACAUGCAAGUCGAGCGAGCGGCGGACGGGUGAGUAAUGUCUGGGAAACCGCCUGAUGGAGGGGGAUAACUACUGGAAACGGUAGCUAAUACCCCAUACCAUCAGAUGUUCCCAGAUGGGAUUAGCGGGUGGGUGGGGUAACGGCUCACCUAGGCGACGAUCCCUAGCUGUACUGAGAGGAUGACCAGCCACACUGGAACUGAGACACGGUCCAGACUCCUACGGGAGGCAGCAGUGGGGAAUAUUGCACAAUGGGCGAAAGCCUGAUGCAGCCAUGCCGCGUGUGGGAAGAAGGCCUUCGGGUUGUAAAGCACGUUCAGCGGGGAGGCGGUACCCGCAGAAGAAGCACCGGCUAACUCCGUGCCAGCAGCCGCGGUAAUAC